UUAUUACUCCCCGAUUUGGCCCUAAUCCUCUGUGGUACUUUUUGCGUCAAUGUAAAAACUUUUUUUUUUGCCUCGACGUGAAAAAAAUGUUUUUUGCUUCGAUGUAAUUUUUUUGUUGUUGCUUUGACCUCUUUUUUUUACGUUCAUGUUUUUUUUCCCCCACAUUUGUCACAUUAAAGGGCAACUGAAGACCUUUCCGGAUUUUGGACGAGUUCGUCAAAACAACCAUGACAUUAUCAACACGUAAUGGUAAGGAUCAUUUGCGUUUUUUUAGUUUUUUUGCACUCCGUUAAUGGUCCCUUCGCAAACCCGGAAGUGUGACGUAGAUUCCUGACGCAACAGAGAAGACUAUCCACGGCUAGCAUAGCAGCACAUCGAUGUCAGUGAUAUUUCUACCAAAGGUAACCAUUCAGGAUCGCUCUUACGUGACGCUACCGAUGGCAAAGGCUCCCAGGAAAAAUGAACUACAAUUAAUCCCUACAUGUUUGAACCUGAGGCGUCAGAUGACGACGAUAUGCUUGACACAGCAGAUGUCGUCAUGACGCCAAUUAACAGCUCGACACUUCACGAACAGGAGAGUGUGUGGUUGUUAACCUUUACCUAAAGAAACGAUGUGUCCGAAAUCCAAGCCAGAACGCGAACGCAGCGCAACAGCGCCAGUUUGAGAACUUGAAUCCUUACAAUGGUGUCCUCAUCAUCUGCGCAACCUGCUGGUGCAGGUACAGGCACACAGGAGGUCUUGAGAAGGGUGUAUCUUCAGAGACUUCUUGGCAAAGUUUCACAGGCCAUACAAAGACUGCCGCUUGAUGUGGACUAGUUACAGUUUGUGGUCAACCAGGAGAUGGUUCUAUUAAGAACACUGUCAAGCCAAAUUGAGAUGCCACACGAUAAAAUCAGUGCUUUGACUAAGUUGUCAACAUUGGUUAUUAGGAUUAACAACACAAGUUUAACUCACCAGGUUCACCAGCUAUAUGGAGAGACUGGACGCCCAAAACUUGAUAUUUCUAUUCAAGACCUUAAAAACUUUGUAGAUAUGUCCAUGCCAGUGCCGUGGAUUGCAAAAUUUCUUGGGGUUUCUGAGAGAACAGUGAGACGGCAGAUGCAUGACAAAGGGGUUUGCGUCAAGUUGUCCUACAGUCACCUAACCAAUGAACAACUUGACAGUUUGGUGAGGUCAGUAAAGGCGAGGACACCGCAUGUGGGAUACAGAAUUAUGAAAGGAAUACUGCAAGCUAUGGGACACAGAGUUUAGUGGCAAAGAAUAGCUUCAUCCAUGCAUCGUGUUGACUCUGUCGGUGUAUUAUCAAGAAUGACAAGCAUGGCGUGUGUUGCAAGGAGAACAUAUUCUGUUCCAGGUCCUCUGCACUUAAUGCAUAUUGAUACUAACCAUAAGCUCAUCAGGUUGGUCAUUCAGUAUUUACAUGCACAUCAGAUGAUGCAAUUUUUCUGGUCGAUAUACUAAUAUUCAUAUUAUUUGUAUGAAAAAUGGGAAAACAAUUUCCUUAUAUUCAUGCUUGUGAACAUCUUUCAAGAAUGGCUCCAUUGCCAAUUUACAUCCAAUUAAUUUUCCAUAUCAUAGUACCAAUAAACCUCUUCACCUGUGGAGUGCUUCAGUUUUUAAAACAUUCUAUAACUUUUACAUUGUUUUGUUGCCUGUAUCCCACUUUUGUGAGCAUUUCACUGCUGACAGAUUGAUAAAAAUAUUUCACCAUUUCUGCAUCCCAAUU